AAAUUGGCAGAUAUAUAAAGGAAUGCCAAAAGCGAAGGCAACUUUUUAGUAUAGACUGACGUUGAGGGACGAAAGCGUGGGUAGCAAACGGGAUUAGAGACCCCGGUAGUCCACGCCGUAAAUUCUGAGUGCUGUAAUUUAAUUGUAAUAUUUUUUAAAAUAUUAUUUAGAUUUUCAAGCUAACGCAAUAAGCACUCCGCCUGAAAAGUACGAUCGCAAGAUUGGAACUCAAAGGAAUUGACGGGGGUCUAACACUAGUGGUGGAGCAUGUGGUUUAAUGCGAUAAUCCGCGCAAAACCUUACCAAUUCUUGACAUAAUUGUAUAAUUACGCUUAACCUUAUUUUGUAUGGCUUAAUUAUUUAUUACAGGUGUUGCACGACUGUCGUCAGCUCGUGUCGUGAGAUGUUUGGUUAAGUCCUGAAACGGGCGUAACUCUUACUUUUAAAAUUUUAACGUAUUAAAAAUUUUUUAAAUGCUUUAAAAGUACGGUCAAUGAUAAGUUGAAGGAAGGUAAGAAUGAAGUCAAGUCAAUGUGACCCUAAUGAAUUGGGCUACUUCAUGUGCUACAAUGAAAAUCACAAAAAGUGACAAGAAAGAGAUUUUAAGGUAAUCAACAAAAAUUUUCCCAGUUCGGAUUGUAGACUGCAACUCGUCUACAUGAAGGUGGAAUCACUAGUAAUCGCAAAUCAGCACGUUGCGGUGAACAUGUAACUUGACCUUGUACACACCGCCCGUCAC
rnacentral:rRNA from 1 species